GAUGAACGCUGGCGGCGUGCCUAAUACAUGCAAGUCGAGCGAACAGACGAGGAGCUUGCUCCUCUGACGUUAGCGGCGGACGGGUGAGUAACACGUGGAUAACCUUCCUAUAAGACUGGGAUAACUUCGGGAAACCGGAGCUAAUACCGGAUAAUAUAUUGAACCGCAUGGUUCAAUAGUGAAAGACGGUUUUGCUGUCACUUAUAGAUGGAUCCGCGCCGCAUUAGCUAGUUGGUAAGGUAACGGCUUACCAAGGCAACGAUGCGUAGCCGACCUGAGAGAGUGAUCGGCCACACUGGAACUGAGACACGGUCCAGACUCCUACGGGAGGCAGCAGUAGGGAAUCUUCCGCAAUGGGCGAAAGCCUGACGGAGCAACGCCGCGUGAGUGAUGAAGGUCUUCGGAUCGUAAAACUCUGUUAUUAGGGAAGAACAAAUGUGUAAGUAACUAUGCACGUCUUGACGGUACCUAAUCAGAAAGCCACGGCUAACUACGUG
rnacentral:rRNA from 1 species